CAUGCAAGUCGAGCGGUAGCACAGAGAGCUUGCUCUCGGGUGACGAGCGGCGGACGGGUGAGUAAUGUCUGGGAAACUGCCUGAUGGAGGGGGAUAACUACUGGAAACGGUAGCUAAUACCGCAUAACGUCGCAAGACCAAAGUGGGGGACCUUCGGGCCUCAUGCCAUCAGAUGUGCCCAGAUGGGAUUAGCUAGUAGGUGGGGUAACGGCUCACCUAGGCGACGAUCCCUAGCUGGUCUGAGAGGAUGACCAGCCACACUGGAACUGAGACACGGUCCAGACUCCUACGGGAGGCAGCAGUGGGGAAUAUUGCACAAUGGGCGCAAGCCUGAUGCAGCCAUGCCGCGUGUGUGAAGAAGGCCUUCGGGUUGUAAAGCACUUUCAGCGGGGAGGAAGGCGNUNAGGUUAAUAACCUUGUCGAUUGACGUUACCCGCAGAAGAAGCACCGGCUAACUCCGUGCCAGCAGCCGCGGUAAUACGGAGGGUGCAAGCGUUAAUCGGAAUUACUGGGCGUAAAGCGCACGCAGGCGGUCUGUCAAGUCGGAUGUGAAAUCCCCGGGCU
rnacentral:rRNA from 1 species